UGCGUAGGUGGCGCCGUAAGUCGGGUGUGAAAUUUCGGAGCUUAACUCCGAAACUGCAUUCGAUACUGCGGUGCUUGAGGACUGGAGAGGAGACUGGAAUUCAUGGUGUAGCAGUGAAAUGCGUAGAGAUCAUGAGGAAGACCAGUGGCGAAGGCGGGUCUCUGGACAGUUCCUGACACUGAGGCACCAAGGGGCCCAGGGGAAGGCAAACG
rnacentral:rRNA from 1 species